rnacentral:rRNA from 1 species
AUUGAACGCUGGCGGCAUGCUUUACACAUGCAAGUCGAACGGUAACGGGUCUUCGGAUGCUGACGAGUGGCGAACGGGUGAGUAAUGCAUCGGAACGUGCCCAGUCGUGGGGGAUAACGCAGCGAAAGCUGUGCUAAUACCGCAUACGAUCUAUGGAUGAAAGCGGGGGAUCGAAAGACCUCGCGCGAUUGGAGCGGCCGAUGUCAGAUUAGCUAGUUGGUGGGGUAAAGGCCCACCAAGGCGACGAUCUGUAGCUGGUCUGAGAGGACGACCAGCCACACUGGGACUGAGACACGGCCCAGACUCCUACGGGAGGCAGCAGUGGGGAAUUUUGGACAAUGGGCGCAAGCCUGAUCCAGCAAUGCCGCGUGCAGGAAGAAGGCCUUCGGGUUGUAAAGCUCUUUUGUUCAGGGAAGAAACAACCGGACUCUAACACAGUCCGGGAAGUGACGGUACCUGAAGAAUAA